UACGUAGGGGGCAAGCGUUGUCCGGAAUCACUGGGCGUAAAGGGCGCGUAGGUGGCGCCCCAAGUCUGUGGUGAAAGCUCGAUGCUCAACAUCGAGUCGGCCACGGAAACUGGGGGGCUGGAGCACUGUAGAGGCUAAUGGAAUUCCGGGUGUAGCGGUGGAAUGCGUAGAGAUCCGGAAGAACACCGGUGGCGAAGGCGGUUAGCUGGGCAGUUGCUGACACUGAGGCGCGACAGCGUGGGGAGCAAACAGG
rnacentral:rRNA from 1 species